ACAGUAUCAGGCUUCUCUUCUUUUCUUUUUAUUUCAGCUGAAACUAUUUGAUUUCGGUAGCGCAAAAGUCUUGGUGAAAGGGGAACCAAACAUAUCAUACAUCUGUUCUCGGUACUACAGAGCUCCAGAGCUUAUUUUUGGGGCAACUGAGUAUACUACAGCGAUUGGCAUCUGGUCUGUUGGUUGUGUUCUUGCUGAACUACUGCUAGGGCAGCCUAUAUUCCCUGGUGAAAGCGGAGUUGACCAGCUGGUUGAAAUAAUUAAGGUUUUAGGCACUCCAACAAGGGAAGAAAUUAGAUGCAUGAAUCCUAAUUACACAUAAUAUAGAUUCCCGCAAAUAAAGGCACACCCUUGGCACAAGAUCUUCCAUAAAUGAAUGCCUCCUGAUGCUGUUGAUCUUGUAUCUAGACUUCUACAAUACUCUCCAAACCUGAGAUGCACUGCUAUGAGUUUAGCCAUUCCUUAAAUUUGCACUAGAUACUAUGGCUCGUGCAUCUGCUGAGUUCUUUACUUUGAUCUAAGAUGGACUACUCCACCGAGGUUGGUGAGUUGGCUAGCAUCUGAAUUAAGGAUUCGUCAGAGUUAUUUGACACGAGGAUCGGAGACGGCCACUGAGGACUUAAUUUUAUGGAAUGAAAAGUGUGCCACGAUGAAUUUACAAUUUCUAAUUGAUGAAGUGUCAUUUGUGCGAUGGGGCUACAUGCAACUGGAGUUCGGACUACGUUGAACUCUGUUUUUUAAUUUGUUGUGUUAGAUUUUGUGGUUUAAAAGAUGUAAUCUUGCAUCCUGUAUAAUUAUACUCGAGUUGUUUCAAUCCAAAUUCUUUAAUUGUUAGGUGCUAGAACUGAUCAACUUUG